AUUUUGAUUUUUAAGGUGUCCUUUUUUUUCUUUAAGGUGUCCUUGAAGAGAGUACAUUGGUAACAAUAAAUAAUAAUUAAGAAAAUAACCUGAUUUGCAGGUUUGUGGGAAAGGUUCCUGGGAGAGCACGAGAUUAGGUUAGUUUCUUAAUUCAUCUACUCAGUCACAGCUCAUAAAGUACUGAUUGUGGACUAGGUGCUUGUCAAGAUACUGGACUUACUAAAAACAAUGACACUGAUGAACAAGCCACCUUCAUGGACUUCAUGUUCUUGCAAGACACCUGCCUUAGAAUACUCCUCCCAUUUAUUUAGUGCAUUGAUAACAC